CGUGCACCGCGCACCCGCCUCUAGGUACCCCCAGCGUGCCGGUGCACGCGCCCCGGGCACCGCGUACCUGCACCCGCGCCCCCGCCUCCGCCCGAGGGACCGCGUACCUGCCCCCUCACACUCGUCCCCAGGUGCCCCUUGCGUACCCGUGCGCCGCGCACCCGCGCACCCGCCCCUAGGUGCCCCCCGCGUACCCAUGCACGCGCCCGCGCCCCUGCCCGGGGGGCCGCGUACCUGCGCCCUCACACUCGUCCCCAGGUGCCGCCCGCUCACCCGUGCACCUCAUACCCGCACCCCCCCCCCGGGGGACCACGCACCCGCCCUGGGGUGCCCCACGCACACGCGUGCACCGCACAGCCGCCCCCGCACACCAGGGACCGCGCGCCCGUACCCGUGGACCGGCGCGGGGCGCGGGGGCGCACGGAGCGGUCCGGCCAGCGGCGAGACCUGUGGGCGCCCCCACAGCGGGACGCACUGUGGCGCUCCCCAGAUGGGUUGUUACGCGGCGUUUCCAACGUCCUAAAAUGCCUCUUUUCUACGUGUUCUAAUUAGGUGUUUAGCAUACUUGAAAUUCAUUCACACGCUUACAAAGAGGGUUUGUAUUGUUUCCCACUCCCUACCCCUUCUUUCCACUGGGAAGAAGGAGAAAGAAGGCAGGAGGGCCUGAGGACUUGGAGGACCCCGGACUGAAGGGCUGCGUUAGCCUACAGUAUUGUCGAUUCGCGCAGACUCGGAGACUAAGGGGCAGAGCAGACCUCGCCCUCCUGCUCAUCAACAAGGCUUCGUGGGAAAUAAUGAGGAAUAUGUGAGGAAUAUGUGCCUCAGAGUUAAAGGGAAUAUCAAUAGCUUCACCAACGUCAAAACUACUGAUAAAUAUGUUUAAAAUGUACAUUAGGUGUUUCGUUCCCUGGAAUUCUACAGGUGUUCAUAUUUUAUCUCUUUUAUUUUUUGGAAAUUCUUGGCCCUCGGUCUGCAAACAUCCCAGGGUUGAAAGUCGUGGGAGUCCAAGAGCUGUGGAAUAGCAAUCAAACAGAUAGGGAAGCCCUCAGUGGAAAGAAUGUGGCGACCAACAUGCCGAGGGAGGGCUGUCUCCUUUGGUGCCCUUUAUGCAACGCGUGUAUUAUUGGGGACCGACAAGUGCUGGCUAAUAAUAAAAAGUAUUUGAAGUUGGAGAAUGUUAAUCACUCACGCUGGAAUUUAGCUAGAAUGCUUGUGUUAUUUCACUUGGUUCUGAAUCAAACCAUGUUAUCUACUAGUUUGUAAACCUCUCUCUUCUUAACAGCGAAAUAUUAUUUUUGCUUGGAGAUCACUAAUAGUAGUAGUAUUAACAAUAGAAAACUUUGCCAAAAGAGACUUAUUUUCCAUUGUGUAGCUUUUUGUAUCAUUUGAACUUUUGCUUUUAAAUAUAUAGUACUUCAAUUUAAAGGCAGUUUAAAAUGUGCUGAUUGUUUAAUACACGUUAAGCAGGGUGCUAAGUAACUCAUUUGCAGUAGCUCAGUUAAUUCCUACAACAACCAGAUGAAACUGCCACCAUAAUGACUUGCUUGAACUUACUUAUUUAGUCCAUGGAAAGGAUAGAUAUCAAAAUUUUCUCCUGAGUCAUAAUUUACUACUCAACAAACUAGAAAACACUAAAUUAUUUUUUUUAGGAUGAGAUUUUUCAGAACCUGAAACAUUGCCAAGCAUUCUGGUGUAUUAAUUCACUGGCUUAUGCAUCCAUCAUCCAUCCAUCCAACAAACAUCAGAUUUCUGAGUUGAAGACACUACUGCUAUAGUAAACAUAUUUCUAAAAGCCAAAUUCAUGAAAUCCCACUUUAAUUAUUACCCAAGUUGUGUUUAUGAAUUGAUGAAAAUAUAGAGGAUAAUGCUAAACAUUCCAUCUAGUAAGUGUGUGACAUUCUAAAAGUUUUGAAGUAUUGGUUUUGGAUUUUGUCAUCAGGGGAUGGUUGCAGGAUUUUAAACCAUACUAGGCUUGUGUUGACUAUACACGUAUUGUUCUGUUGAGACAUGUGACAGUUCAAUGCUAAAGGAACAAGUGGACAGGUGGCCUUCAUAAACUUUUCAGUAUCUUGGGACUCAAGCCUGUAACAGGAUGCUGUGUGAUAGACACCUUCAGUCAGCAUUUGUGAAACAAAUGGAUGGAUGAAUGACAACUGAGAUUAACUUUUUAAACUUUAGCAACUGACACUGAAUCCUUGAACACAGAUCACCUUGUGAGCGACAUCUCCGAGGGUCACCACACCACACCCUGUUAAAUGCAGGGUGCGUCCAAACCUCAGCUCUGCCUGUGCCAGCUGUGUCACUCUGGACAAGUCACCUAACAGCUCCGGGUCCUCUUUCCUUGUCUGUAAGAUGGAGUUUAAAAUAGUUAUCAAGUCGUAGUGAGGGGUAAAUGAAUUUAUAUGGUAAAGGGCUUAGAACCAUGUCUGGCACCAGCUACAACUACAAGUAGAUGAUUUUGUUUCCUCAGUAAGCCCCACACUUGGGCCCAGCUGGAUCUUCUGCAGACAGAGUUACUCACCUCGGUAUGUAAAAUGGAGCACGUCCGGGAAGGUGGAGAGAAGUGCAUUCUGGUCUAAUCGCAUGUGGGUCUGUUUGGGCUGAAGGAAACAUUAUGUAAACAACAGAAUUGUUGUUCAGUGAUGGCACCGUUGAUAUCAGCGAUGACCGCAGUGACGGCACCCGAUGGGCACUGAGCAUUUCCAGCGUGCAUGCACUCUGCAAGCAUUUUACCUGUACGAUCUCUGUUACUCCCAAGAAUCCUGUCAGGUUGAUAUUAUUAUCCCCAUUUUAUAGAUGAAGAACUGAGGCUCCGACGAGUAACUUGUUACCAAGGUCACACACCUUCCAGCUGGGGUUUUCCUGACUCCGAAGCCUGUGCUGCCCCCAACUGCAGCCUCGUUGUCGGCCCCGCAGUGGAGGGUGCUGAGAACCACUGGUGGCAAGUCUCGAGAGAAGCAACUUUCCUUAUUCCUUGGCAUCCUUAUCCUGGGGACCAGGCUGAAUCUUUAAUUCUGGGGUAGCCUCUUGUGUGGGGGCUAAAGUGUGGAAAAGCUCUGGGGUCUGGAUUCAUCUAGAAUCCAGCACAAGUCUAGGGCCAACUUGCUCUUUGGGUUUUGCAGACUGGGUGCCAAGUGGGGUGCCACUUAGACGAGAUUUCAGGACCUUCCUGGUAUCUUGGCAGAGGAUGCUUCAAUUCAGUAAAUAUCAAUGCUGUGCCUGCUGUGAGCUAAGCACUAGUGCCAGGGGUAUGAAGAUGGUGAGGCCCGGACUUCCCAGGCAGGGCACAGCGGAGCACAGAGGAGCCCAACUUGGCAGCUCAGGAAGAGCCAGGCUGUGUCUGGAAGGCUGGAUGCGAGUUAGGCGAUCUCUCAGUCAGGGUUUAGCACAGGAAGCAGGAACCACUCUAGGUAUUUCAAGCAGAGAAAGACUUAAUUCUGAGAAUCAAGCAGGGGCUUAUAAAAUUGUUAGAAGGGCUGGAGGGGCGGAGGUCAGGGUCUACUCCUGGACUAUUGAGUUCAAGGGCCCACCAUGGGGGUACGUUCCAGAAGUCGAGAUGGUGCUGCUGCAGCAACUGCUCCUCAUACCUGUGAAACUUGUUACUAGACACUGAGAUGGGACACCGAGUCCAACAACAUUAAAUGCCUCUUAUCAUCACCUCUCAGCCCUGCUGGCCAGGAGCAACAGCAGCAGAAUGAUGCCUUCUCCUUGCAUCUGCCUGCCAAACCUCACAGGAGCACACCUGGUUGACUGAACUUUGUUCAGAUCCAGACUCUAGCUGCAAGGGAGUCUGGGAAAUGUAGUUUUGAGGUUUCCAAUCUCUCCAGCUGGAUUACUAGAACAGGGAUUGAAUGGAGUCCCUGAGAGGCAACCCUCAGCAUCCACUGCGGGUGAAAACUGAGAAGGACUACCUAGAUGGAGGAAUCUGCAGAGGUGGAGGGUGUAGGGCAGAAAGCACGGUGUGCAGCUGGGCACGACCAGGCUACUGGAGGGUAGCAGAAGCAUCAGAAUCUGAACGUGCCCUCCUGUCUAGUCAGCAUCUUCUUUAAUUAGUUAGAUUUGCAUGUUCACUCUAACACUCUUGCAUUGAUGUGGUGGUUGAUUUAUUCAACUGACCACUAAUACAGAAGGAGGAAGGAAAUGAGCAAAAAGCAGAUGAGAGAAUAAACAGAAGUGCUGGGGGAUGUUCAUCCACAAAGAAAAAGCACUUUAACCUUCUCCCAGUUCAGUGCUAUGAACACUGUUGAUGUCCUCCCCAGGCUUUUUCCCUUUCUCCUUCCUGACAGAACCCCAGUGUUUUGUUUGGGUUGGGAACCUACCGUUUUCUGCACAGCCACCUGCUUCACAGCAGACAGGACCUCCUGUCAAGCCCCAGGCAGUAACACAUGGUUGGUCCAACUGCUCACGUUGCCCCUUCUUAUUAGUAUUCAGGUUACUCAUGUGUGGGGGGCACAGUUCUGGCCCACAAGGGUGUGGGCCAGUGUGAGGUAAGUGUCAGGCCUUAUGGGAGAGAUUUUACCCCAAAGGAGAGACAGUCUCCUCUCCUGCUGGCUAUUGUUUGGUCCGCAUGUGAUACCUCCCACUGUGGGCGCCAUCUUGCAACCUCGAAAGAGCUAAGCUGAGGCACUGAGGAAGGAUGGCAUGGACAUCUGCCUGCCUCCGCACUUCUUCUCAUGUGACACAAUACGUUUCUUCUUUUCUGAGCCCGCUGAGUCAGAGUGUUCAGCCAAAAUUAUCAUAACUACUACAUGCGGUCUGUACACCCAGGACAAGGAUGUGCCCCCUUAAACUUGGCCAAUGAAAGUCUUUGGAGGAGAUUUACAAAAACUUAUUCCCCCUUUUCCACCAGGAAAACUGCUAUUCGUGCUUCAAAAGCAUUCAAGACCCACUCAAACCUCACUUCUGUCAGGCUGUCACCUGUUACCACCCUUCUGCGUUACUCACCAGCACUCAGCCGAUACACAUGAGCCCCUGUUACGGGCCUGGUCACCUUUCAGACACAGGGGGUAUAACGGGGAGAUACCAGUCUGGUGGGAAGACAGACAGUGAAACUUUAAUGUGAUGACUCUUAUGAAAGGGAAAAAAAGAAUUCUUAGGGCAGCAUUUCAAAGGAAGGGGAUAACUACCUUGAGAUUAUUUUAUUGUACUGUGAUUAUCUGUUCAUAUAUCGGUUUUUUCCCCUAGAUUGUGUGUCCUUACGCCCUUAAAUCCCCCAUCCCUUCCCUGGGAGACUGUAUUUUCCAAAGAUGGCUGCAAAAACUUCUCCCAUUCCGUAGUUCUUCUGCAAUGUGACCUUGCCGUUCCCACAGGGGAGGGAAGUAGGAGUCCGAAGUCCCCUCCCCUUGACUCUCAGCGGCUGUGAUGGUUUUGGCCAAUAGAAUAUAUGGAAGCGAUGUUCUGGGAAUUCUACGCGUGGGUUAUAAAGGGCCGUGCGGCUUCCACUCGGUUCCCUUGGAACACUUGUGUUUUUGAGAUGCUCCUCUUGGGACCUACAUGUAGACGCUCCAGUUGACAGUCCCUGUUGAGUGAGCCUUCAAGGCGUCCCAGGCCAUGUGUCUGACACGUGAGUAAAGAUUUCAGAUGAUUCCAGUCCCCAGCCUCGAGUCACUCCCAGCUGUUCAAGCCUUCCCAACUGAGGCCCCAAAUUUCACGGAGCAGAGUCAGCCAUCCCUCUGUGCCCUCUCCAGGUUCCCGACCCACAGCACACAAGAGCAUCGUAAAAUGGCUGUUGGUUCACGCCACUAGUUGGUAUGGUUUGUUACAGAGUAGCAAUGACUGGAAUACCCCCAAAUCGGCCUGCCUGUGAAAUCUUAGAUGACUGAGUAGACAACUUUUUUUUGGCCUGACCCAGUUGGUGAUCAAUUUAUGCGCCGAAGCUGGAGAACUUUCAUCCACCUUACUUUCAUCCUCUUGAGUCUCACUGUUGAUGACAUGCAUGUGAAAUGUCUAAUCUUUUAAAACACAAAUCUUCACCAUUGAUCUUAAUAUCCUGCUGCAGUGAGUUCCUCAGGUCAAUUGUGUGUAGUGGGGAAAAAAGUGCCUCCUUUUAUCCGUUUUAAACAUGCUUCCUUUUCAUCUCAUCUUGUCCUCUUGUUCUUCCCCAAGUAACGUGAUGUCCAUUUCGUGGAUACCGCGACACAGAAGCUGCGUUGAGACAAUAAUCUGUCUUUGAGCGGGUCACCCAGAAGGCCUCGGGCUCCCUGCGACACGGAGCGGUGGAUUUUAGCUGGUGACUUAAAGGUGGUGGAUCGCUCUAUUCUAAUUAGUCACAAGUUUAGUUCCAAGCUUUUAAAAAAUAGUUUCUAAAUUCCACAAGUGGCAGUGGUUCUUGUGGUUCUAGUAAGUGGAGCACAGCAUAGUGGGAAGAGCACCGGCUGGUACAAUCUGGAUUCAAGUCUCAUCCUGUGAGCCGACUGUGUGCCCUUGGGCAUAACACUUAACGUCUCUGGGCCUCAUUUUCCUCAACUACAGAAUGAGGAGAUUCAACCGCAGGGCUUGUGGAAAACUUUUGCCUCUAACGUUUUUUGAUUCCAGUCAUUUUGAAACAUCUAAUACGUGAAUUCAUGGGGAGGAAAAGCUUGUGCCCUAAAGAGUUUGCCUUUUUAGCCCUAAGGUGGGGCUGGAGAGAACCCCCUCCCCUAAAAGACUCUCUAGUCUUUAGAAAACAAAUGUUAUCUUUUUCCGAAACAGAAUCCAAACUGGGCUUCAAUUACCAAAAAUACACUCCUGUGUAUUUUUGUGUGGCUAAGUGACACUUCUUGAGCCUGAGUUCCUUCGGUGUGGGGUGCACCCUGGACCUCCCUUCAGGCUGCCUCCACGAGCCUGUCAGUUCUUACCCUGCAACCUGGACCUUGGUGCUGGGACCACUUCCUGCCAAGUGAUGAGAAUGAAUGGAUGGGCAACAGCUGCACGGCCACCUUGGGCAGGAAAAAGGAUGUUGUCCCAGUGAGCAGAGCAGUAGAGAAUGGUCAAAUGAAUCACAAACAAUCUGAAAUUUCUUCCCAAUCCUUUUUCUCCAUGCGAAGAACAACAUGGUCACCAACCGGGGCUUAGGGACAGCAUUCAGUCUCAUUCAGCCUGGAUGCAUUUCACUUAUUUUCUGGUUUGCUAAAUGUUUCUCCAACAGUUGUGAUUCUUGGAACUUCAUGGACGGUAACCCACUUCUUAAGCUCUGCAUCCUGUUCUCUUACUAAAUUUUCACUUUCCAAUCUCCAGUGGGGGAAUACUUCUCAUCUCUGAUCUUAAAGUCCAUCACAGAGUCACCACUGAUGAAGGGCUGCCAGGGGAGGAUGGAUUGCUUUUCACCGGUGGGUUAACAAACUUGAGCAAUAGCAACAAGUGGCACGACAAUAGGACACGCUUCUGCUCAACAGAAAUGUAUUUGCAGGUUAGUAAAACCCCUGCGGUCCUUAUAUUCACAGAGGGUGUAGAAUGUUAGAGAGAAUUUCAGAUAGCAAGCAGAGGAGAAACAGAAGUGAAAGUAACUGUGUAACAGCAGUUCUUCUGGCGCCUGGAAGAGCUUUGUGAAAAUGUGUGUUCCCAAGAAGAGUUCUGCCCCACCUUCCUUAACCGCGAUCCCGAGUGCUGUGUGGUCACACGCGUCCGCUGCUGUAUCCUCGUCACGUACAGGAAUGUUUUGAUGUUUGUGCUAAGGCUUUCAGGGAAAGCUGGGAGACAUCACACAACAUCUGUAACAAGCAAUACUCUCAGUUGUACCAGUGGGAAAAAUGAAGAUCAUGCCGGAUGAAUUACUUGGUUAUUUUUUCCUUAUUUAGUUUAUUUGGUUAAAACACGUUGCCAAGGGGCCAGCCCCGUGGCCGAGUGGUUAAGUUCGCGCGCUCCGCUGCAGGCAGCCCAGUGUUUCGUUGGUUCGAAUCCUGGGCGCGGACAUGGCACUGCUCAUCAGACCACGCUGAGGCAGCGUCCCACAUGCCACAACUAGAAGGACCCACAACGAAGAAUAUACAACUAUGUACUGGGGGGCUUUGGGG
ensembl:lncRNA